rnacentral:rRNA from 2 species
UACGUAGGGUGCGAGCGUUGUCCGGAAUUAUUGGGCGUAAAGGGCUCGUAGGCGGUUUGUCACGUCGGGAGUGAAAACACCGGGCUUAACUCGGUGCUUGCUUCCGAUACGGGCAGACUAGAGGCAUGCAGGGGAGAACGGAAUUCCUGGUGUAGCGGUGAAAUGCGCAGAUAUCAGGAGGAACACCGGUGGCGAAGGCGGUUCUCUGGGCAUGUCCUGACGCUGAGGAGCGAAAGUGUGGGGAGCGAAC